rnacentral:lncRNA from 1 species
UUCAGACUCAUUUUCCGGGGAGGCUGUGUAAUAAGAUAGCCCGGUGCAUCCUUUUAACCUCUUUCAACACUAAACGGCCAAAUGAAAACAUGACUCACAGGAAAGUGAAAAAGAUGAACGGCAGAAACUGGAGCCCUUUGUUACAGAGCUAAACAUAUACACCUGGUCGCAGAAACUGAAGAAAGAUCCAGAGAAAAGUGGAACAAUUGCAAGCCCAGCUGCUGCUUCACAGCAAAGAGGUGACUCAGCAGAUCUGCAAUAAGUCCGUGAACUACAAAAUGACCAUUGUUUCUCUUCUUCCUUUCAAAUCUUCCAAGAAUAUCCCUUGCUGCUCACUCUAAUGAAAACAUGCAAAAGAAGAUAUUCAGGGAAACUAGGUUGACAUAUUGCAAAGCCAUCACAAUUCUCUAUCUACAUUCCACAUUCAACUGUAGUACACAGAUUAGGCUCCUCACCUAGCUCUAGUUUGAGACUGAUUUCUGUUCUUAUUUUAUAAGAUCUCUUAGAAGUUUUUUGUAUAGUUAUUGUUUUAAGCAAUUAAUUACAAUUGAAAUUUUGGAGGAUGUGUGGGGAUUAAGUUUCUUUCUGAUACUAGUAAAUUCCUUCCCUAUGAAAGGAGAAAUGACUGCCAGAGAGAAAUUUUCAGACAGUUGUGACAAAGUUACAAUUUUCAUCUAAGGUAAACUGGAAAGCAGUGUGGGUCCUUUAUUAUUAUCUUCCCAGGAAUAUACUAGGAUGAUGCACGAGUACAUUCUAGAAAGGCAAAAGAAUUGAUAUGUCAUACAUCCUUAUUGGAAUUCAAAUACUGGCCAAUCCUGACAGCUGUUCCUAAUAGACAAUGGAUUGUGACUAAAGCCAGAGUCAUAUGCCUCCCUUAAAGUCAAUACAAAAAUAAGUUGAGGCUAAAAUUACUAUUCAGAUACUGCUAGGAGUGGGUAUAAAGUUAUUUAUCAAAAGUUUCUCAGAUAAUAUUUCAAAAUGAGCUAAGGAAAAUUAUAAAUAUUGAAAGGAAGGGGAUAAAUUAAAUUUGUACGAGGAGGUGUGCACAGAGAAAUUAUAGUUACAAAGGAAUAUUUGUUAAAUGAAAGCAAUGGAAAGCUAACAACUUAUGGAUCAAACAAUACUUAACUAAGAGUGCAUAAAAUCUUUCAUAUUAUUUCUCUCCAGUGGAAGUGUCUCUUUAUAGUCUUGUAUAUUACCUGAAUUUUGAAAGUAUACAUUAUUUUUCACUUAAAAUAUUAAUUUUAUUUCUAGACUAUGUAUUUCAGAAGAAAAUAGAUGUUAACAAAACUAGGAUAAAACUAAAUUGUGUGUGUGUGUGUGUGUGUGUGUGUGUGUGGUGUAUUAACACUCAUUAUGGGUUAUAGCAUAGCCGAUAAAAUACAAUAUAUAUUAUACUAACCAGGAAAUAUGCUACAUCGUAUUUAUUGCUGGCAAAUAUGUAUAACAUUUUCCUAUUUUCUUGUAAAAGAUUUAUACAUUAUUUGCAUGUAUACUAAAGUUUUAGCUGAAGUGUUAGGAAUGUCAGAGAGAUUAACUGAAAAGAACUUAAACUGAA